GAGCAUGCUCUCUGCCAGAGCUCGGGACUGGUGCUGACCUGCAGGAUGGAGGAGAGAAGAGAAGACUCAUCAACAGAACAAAUGUUGCUGGAACAUUACUUAUAAUGGCAACAAUUGGAAACAAUCAAAGGAUGUCACUAUAGGGACUUGGGUUAAGAAAAUUAUGACACAUCAAAAGCACAGUGAAGAGAACUUCUGUCAAUCCUGUCAAGCACAUGAAGAUGUGAAGUUUCAACUGGAUUCAUUUCUAUAAAUAACCGAUACAAUUUCCAGAAAACCCUGAAGUCAGGAAAACCAAUGUUACUAAUGGCCUUAGGCUACGAGAAGAUCUGGUUAAGAGUAUCCUAAGGGAGGAUCUAAGCCUGUUCAUACUCUACAAGCAAAGAAACACCCUGAAACCCCUUGAUUUUCUUAUUUUCACCAUUUGCUUCAACCAGCAGUUCACUGGAGACCCAUCCAUCUUGUAAUGCCUAAAGUGACAGAUGCUCUCAGAAACGACCACACUGCUGAGUGAACAAAAGAUAACAUCACCUCCAGGAACUCCAGAGAGAAAUACAACUGCAAGCUUAAGACAGGGGCUGACUUGACAGACAUUGGACCAUAAACCUCUUCUAAGCAAAAAAGAAAACAAUUGCCACACACACAAAAAAAAUCUGACACAAUCAAAGGCAGAAAAGAGUGAUUAUUUGUGGAUUGCCUUUUCACUCUGUAACUCACUUUUCCCCACCCAAUGCUUUUAUAUCGGGGCAAUUCACUCACCAAUAGGCAGGAGGAGUUCUUGUGUGUGUGGGGGGGGGGGGGCGGGGGGGAGGCGGAGUGGGGGCAGGGGGAGCCUUUCUCAAGUAUCUUCUUUUAUUCAUCAAUAUUCAAAGUGAAAUUCAUUCACAAGUGUUUCAGGAAAUCUAAGUCUACCAUACAGCAUUCUUAAGCCUGACUCUUAAUAUCUGGACUCAGAAAUGCUGACUCAAUUCUACUGCGGUGAAAGGCACAUGCAUGCUUUGCAAAUUAAAAACACAUUAGAAAUUAAAAAGCAACCUGUGACAAUGUCAACAAUAUGUGCAGCACAUUUGAAAAAGCCAACCAUUCAUCAGACAACCUCCAACUUGGGUUAAAAAGACAUUUUACAAGAGGAUUCUGGGAAGGGCUGCACAGCUCUUUUCUAACAAAGGAAAGGUCAUAUUAACAUCUCCCAGCAACAAACUAAUGACAGGGAAGCUGUAGAUGCAGGAGACUCUGCUUGAUGCCAUCUAGGUUCUAGGACUUUCGUUGUGACUGUUGUUUAAAACAUCUUAUUUAAAACUAUCAGACAGAAUAGGAAGUAAAUAUAACUCUAACAUUCAGACAAAUACAGUGAAGGGGAAAUUUCGAAGAACAUAAAAACAAAAACUAACCUGGAGGUCAAUUAAGAACAUCAUGUGGUCAAUGCCAAUUAUGGAGAUUAACAACCCGUUUUUAGAAUAGAUAUCGAGCAACACAGGAAAACCUCUGUUGGAGCUAAAUACAUUAUUCUUCUCAAAAAGGGCAAAUGAUACAAAUAUUUAUGUUACAUCUAAAGAAAAGAGCCAAAAUGCUUAAGAAAAUUUCCAUUGACAAUAUUUCUAAGAAGAAAUCUAAAUACUUAUAAUGGCAUUUCUUUAAUAAAAAUAUUUUUUUCUCUAAAAUGUUUGCACACAAAGUCUUUAAGUUAUGCUACAAUCAUUUUUCUUUGGGGUUACUAAUGACUCCUCUCCUCCCCACUUUCCAAAAAAAACACAAAUUUUAAAAUAUAUUUUGUCUCCUGUGAUUGAAUUACUUGUGGGGAGGAGGUUAAAAAAAUUUCAACUUAUAUAAAUCAACAUAUCAGUUACUUAAACAUUUUUAUGUCUCUCUUAUUUCCUCAAACACUUCAAUGUAUCUUUCAUAAAUAACAGUAUAAUAUUUCAUAAUCUCAGAAUUUUCUGGGUUUUUUUUAAGGCUGGCAAAGUAGAAUACAUACAAAAUAAUAAAAUGAGUAUGUAAAAUCAUAUCACAAUAGAAAAAAGAUUAAAUAAUUAUAGAACACUUAUAUAAAAUACUUGUUCUAAUAUGGACUGGAUCUUUAACUAGGAGACUUUAUAAACAAAGCCUUAUACACACUGGCCCUAAGUAAUCUCCCACAAUCUAUUAAUCCAAAACUACCACAUCAUUCAACACUUUCAAACUCUGGCAUUAAUAACAAGAAAGAGAAGUGACCUUGAAAUGACAGCUCCACUGCAGAAGGCUCAAAAAAAGAUCCAAUUAAAUGAUCUACUUUAAAACACAAUAGAAUCAAUAUGCAUGCUAGAAAAGUACAUCCCUGUGGAAAGUUCUUAUUGUCUGACUGAUCAAAAACAAAACUUUUUUUUUUUUAAGGGCCCCUUCCAGAUCACAGUCUGUACCAGAAAUCCACACAGGAAAAAAAAAUCCAUCAAAAUGAAACCCUAAAAGGGUUUACUCUUCACCAUUCUAUUUGCACUUCAAAACCCUGUCAGUCCUUCAGUUAAACCCCAGGGCUGUACCAUUUCAAUAAUAAGAGAGGUGGCCAGUGGUGAUUUAUCUCCCAUUUGGCCUCUGGACAGAGCUGUAAUGUCUAGGAAGCUUCCCUUCCCUGACUGGAUCCCUCCCCCAAGUCUCCACCUUAAUUUGUGCAGCCUUGGGUCUGCAAUACCUUAGAAACAAUUCAUGUGCCCCUUCCAAUCAGAUGCAGGAACACUCUGUACUCAAGAUUUGGGUACAUUUUCUCAGCAAUAAUUUCACAAAAUGGCAUGCUGCUGAGUACUCAGAGCAUGGCAAAUACCAGCUUAAAUUUCAGAUUCUCUUUGUUAUAAGUUAGAGCAGAAAAGAAACUUCCUUAACUGUAGCCUCUCUCUUCUCACAUACGUUAUCGGAACUUCACAAGCUUUUCCCAGUGUAUACUUUGAUAUCCUUUAUGUUUUGGACCACAUUAGCCAGUAUCCUUCAGUGUGGUACUCAUCUAAAUUUAAAUCUUUGCAUUGUAAAAUACCUUAACAAAUCCAAAAAAGUGGAGAUUUCAUAGGUCACAGACUCCUGGGUCAAAAAGACCUAAAAAUAGAUAACAGACCACCACGACUUAACUGAUUUAUUCUACCCUUGUUAUCCAAUAUGUACUGUAACUGUCAUCACAUACACUCACCAAUUUUCCAACAAUGUCAACAGUUAUUUAAAUGGAAAUAUAGAUCCCAGAAGUCACCAAAUGUGAAACACAGUGAAAUUAUUCCUUAAAAAUGGAGGAUAUUUUAUCAUUAGGCAUGACUUACCUAUUUCAUAAUUAUGUUCAUUUGCUUUCUAAAAUGGAAAGAGAAUAAAAAGCAUGUAUAACCU
rnacentral:lncRNA from 1 species